rnacentral:rRNA from 1 species
CUAGUCCUACGGGAGGCAGCAGUGGGGAAUAUUGCACAAUGGGGGAAACCCUGAUGCAGCAACGCCGCGUGAGUGAAGAAGUAUUUCGGUAUGUAAAGCUCUAUCAGCAGGGAAGAAGAUGACGGUACCUGAGUAAGAAGCCCCGGCUAACUACGUGCCAGCAGCCGCGGUAAUACGUAGGGGGCAAGCGUUAUCCGGAUUUACUGGGUGUAAAGGGAGCGUAGACGUUGCGUCAAGUCUGAAGUGAAAGCCCGGGGCUUAACCCCGGGACUGCUUU